rnacentral:rRNA from 1 species
UAGGGAAUCUUCGGCAAUGGGGGGAACCCUGACCGAGCAACGCCGCGUGAGUGAAGAAGGUUUUCGGAUCGUAAAGCUCUGUUGUUAAGGAAGAACGAGUGUGAGAAUGGAAAGUUCAUACUGUGACGGUACUUAACCAGAAAGGGACGGCUAACUACGUGCCAGCAGCCGCGGUAAUACGUAGGUCCCGAGCGUUGUCCGGAUUUAUUGGGCGUAAAGCGCGCGCAGGCGGUUAGAUAAGUCUGAAGUUAAAGGCAGUGGCUCAACCAUUGUAGGCUUUGGAAACUGUUUAACUUGAGUGCAGAAGGGGAGAGUGGAAUUCCAUGUGUAGCGGUGACAUGCGUAGAUAUAUGGAGGAACACCGGUGGCGAAGGCGGCUCUCUGGUCUGUAACUGACGCUGAGGCUCGAAAGCGUGGGGAGCGAACAGG